rfam:Triticum aestivum genome assembly, contig: Triticum_aestivum_CS42_TGACv1_scaffold_225418_3B
UACGUACUCCCUCCGUCCGAAAAUACUUAUCAUCAAAAUGGAUAAAAGAAGAUGUAUCUAGAUGUAUUUGAGUUCUAAAUACAUCCCUUUUUAUCCAUUUUGAUGACAAGUAUUUUGAAACGGAGGGAGUGGUAC